rnacentral:rRNA from 1 species
CUCAAAGAUUAAGCCAUGCAUGUCUCAGUACAAGCCAAAUUAAGGUGAAACCGCGAAAGGCUCAUUAAAUCAGUUAUGGUUCCUUAGAUCGUACCCACAUUUACUUGGAUAACUGUGGUAAUUCUAGAGCUAAUACAUGCAAACAGAACUCCAACCGGAGACGGAAGGAGUGCUUUUAUUAGAUCAAAAUCAAUCGGUGGCAGUUCGCUGUCAUCGUAAUACUUGGUGAAUCUGAAUAACUUUAUGCUGAUCGCAUGGUCUAGCACCGGCGACGCAUCUUUCAAAUGUCUGCCUUAUCAACUGUCGAUGGUAGGUUCUGCGCCUACCAUGGUUGUAACGGGUAACGGGGAAUCAGGGUUCGAUUCCGGAGAGGGAGCCUGAGAAACGGCUACCACAUCCAAGGAAGGCAGCAGGCGCGCAAAUUACCCACUCCCGGCACGGGGAGGUAGUGACGAAAAAUAACGAUACGGGACUCAUCCGAGGCCCCGUAAUCGGAAUGAGUACACUCUAAAUCCUUUAACGAGGAUCAAUUGGAGGGCAAGUCUGGUGCCAGCAGCCGCGGUAAUUCCAGCUCCAAUAGCGUAUAUUAAAGUUGUUGCGGUUAAAAAGCUCGUAGUCGAAUUUGUGUCUCAUGCCGCUGGUUCAUCGUUCGCGGUGUAAACUGGCGUGACAUGAGACGUCCUGCCGGUGGGCUUAGCUUGUAAAAGAGCGGCCCUAUACAAUCCUGCCACGUUGCUCUUGAUUGAGUGUCGAGGUGGGCCGGCACAUUUACUUUGAACAAAUUAAAGUGCUUAAAGCAGGCUAAAAUUUUGCCUGAAUAUGUGUGCAUGGAAUAAUGGAAUAGGACCUCGGUUCUAUUUUGUUGGUUUUAGGAACCCCGAGGUAAUGAUUAAUAGGAACGGAUGGGGGCAUUCGUAUUGCGACGUUAGAGGUGAAAUUCUUGGAUCGUCGCAAGACGGACAUA